rnacentral:lncRNA from 1 species
GUGGAUGUAAUGUGCUCCCUUAUUGUCUAAUGUGUUUCUUUCUUCAUGUGAGCAAAGAAGAAGAAGAAGACAGUCCCCGUGUUACCUCAGCAGCAAGCCUGGCAGUUUGCGAAUCCUGGUGUUAAAAUGCAGUGACAGGAUUUUCAGCAACGAGGAAAAUGCUCCAGUGAAAUUUCUGAUUUUACUUCAAAGAAAAAUUCCGGUCCUAGAAAUUUGAGGUCCAAAGUCCAGACAUUUCCGCCUAAAGAACAUCAACAAGCAGAAAGAACACACACUUAAAGUCAAGUCGCUGGGUUUAAUUCCUGGCUUCACACUUCAACUGUUUCCUACAACCAAGUCACCUAUCUUCUCUGAACCUGCUUCCCUACUGUGGGAAGAAGAAAUAUCAUCUUCCAACAUCCAAAUAUCAGAAGACUACACACAAAUGUUAUUAGAUUAAAGAAAAGGAUGUCUAGCACUUGGGCUGAUAUGUAGAAAAUGCUUAAAUACUUAAUAAACGUUACUUGAAUCCAG